GAGGAAGUAAAAAAGGAAAAAGGCCUCCGUAGGUGAACCUGCGGAGGGAUCAUCCCAAUUGACCCCGGUUUACCACCGGGAUGUUCAUAACCCUUUGUUGUCCGACUCUGUUGCCUCCGGGGCGACCCUGCCUUCGGGCGGGGGCUCCGGGUGGACACUUCAAACUCUUGCGUAACUUUGCAUUCUGAGUAAACUUAAUUAAUAAAUUAAAACUUUUAACAACGGAUCUCUUGGUUCUGGCAUCGAUGAAGAACGCAGCGAAAUGCGAUAAGUAAUGUGAAUUGCAGAAUUCAGUGAAUCAUCGAAUCUUUGAACGCACAUUGCGCCCCCUGGUAUUCCGGGGGGCAUGCCUGUUCGAGCGUCAUUUCACCACUCAAGCCUCGCUUGGUAUUGGGCAACGCGGUCCGCCGCGUGCCUCAAAUCGACCGGCUGGGUCUUCUGUCCCCUAAGCUUUGUGGAAACUAUUCGCUAAAGGGUGUUCGGGAGGCUACGUCGUAAAACAACCCCAUUUCUAAGGUUGACCUCGGAUCAGGUAGGGAUACCCGCUGAACUUAAGCAUAUCAAUAAGCGUAGGAAAUCACUAUGAAUUCGCGGCCGCCU
rnacentral:rRNA from 1 species